GCUCGUGUAGCUCAGUUGGUUAGAGCGUCGUACUAAUACCGGAUGAGCAAUCGUCGACUAUUGGUGAUGCGAAGGUCGUAGGUUCAAUCCCUGCCAUGAGCA
rfam:Beauveria bassiana D1-5 contig00606, whole genome shotgun sequence.